CAUUAGUUUAGGGAAAACAAGCUGGAGCAUUUGCUGGGAGCCAAGCUUGGAAAGUGGAGGGAUUUGGAGGAGAAAAUGCAUAACUUAAUGUUUCGUUGGAAAUAGUCCACCCUGCUCAACAGUCAUGGGCUGGGAAGGCAGUUUUCUUCUUUAAACCAGUUUCUUUUGAAAAGGCAAACAGAAGCUAUUUACAGAUCAAAUGAGAACGCUGGUAACCAUUUAACCACAAGGAAUAUUGACUCUUUGCUCUAAAUAUAGCAGAUGCAAUCGCUCACUUUGUUCCUGUUGUCAGGAAUAGAUCCCGGCUCGGGCACUGAUGUUGGAAUGUGCGAAGAAGGAGCCCAGGUCCCUGCGGAGAGGCUGGUGGUAUUUAUGGUCCUUCCCUGAGCCAAGCAGGAGGUGCAGGAUGCUGCGUCCGUCGUGUGGGUCUGAGCCGAGAGGUAUCGCCAACAACGUGGUCUUCCCCCUCCAUGUCACUUUGUAAUUCUGUCAGCAUCUCUGCCUUGGGUGGAAGGGCUGUGUCUGACCAUCCUCUCUUCUCAUAUGGAGCUGGUGGUGGUCUGCAAGCCUCCCUCAUUUUCCAAGCAGGAAAGCUGGGAUUUUUCCAACCACGCCAUCAGUUCCUCAGCAGAAGGGUUUGAAUGAGCAGCCU